CCUACGGGGGGCAGCAGUGGGGAAUAUUGGACAAUGGGGGGAACCCUGAUCCAGCCAUGCCGCGUGUGUGAAGAAGGCCCUCGGGUUGUAAAGCACUUUCAGUGAGGAAGAACGCCUGGUGGUUAAUACCCAUCAGGAAAGACAUCACUCACAGAAGAAGCACCGGCUAACUCCGUGCCAGCAGCCGCGGUAAUACGGAGGGUGCGAGCGUUAAUCGGAAUUACUGGGCGUAAAGCGCGCGUAGGUGGCUUGAUAAGCCGGUUGUGAAAGCCCCGGGCUCAACCUGGGAACGGCAUCCGGAACUGUCAAGCUAGAGUGCAGGAGAGGAAGGUAGAAUUCCCGGUGUAGCGGUGAAAUGCGUAGAGAUCGGGAGGAAUACCAGUGGCGAAGGCGGCCUUCUGGACUGACACUUACACUGAGGUGCGAAAGCGUGGGUAGCAAACAGGAUUAGAUACCCUUGUAGUC
rnacentral:rRNA from 1 species